rnacentral:rRNA from 1 species
AGGCAGCAAUUAGGAAUCUUGCACAAUGGGCGAAAGCCUGAUGCAGCGACGCCGCGUGACUGAUGAAGUCCUUCGGGAUGUAAAAGUCUUUUCUGGGGGAAGAAGGACGUGACGGUACCCCAGGAAUAAGCCCCGGCUAACUACGUGCCAGCAGCCGCGGUAAUACGUAGGGGGCGAGCGUUGUCCGAAUUUACUGGGCGUAAAGCGCGCGUAGGCGGGUUUUUAAGUUGGUGGUGAAAUCCCGAGGCUCAACCUCGGAACUGCCUCCAAAACUGGGAACCUUGAGGUAUGGAGAGGGAAGUGGAAUUCCAGGCGUAGCGGUGAAAUGCGUAGAUAUCUGGAGGAACACCCGUGGCGAAGGCGGCUUCCUGGUCAUAUCCUGACGCUGAGGUGCGAAAGCUAGGGGAGCGAACGGGAUUAGAUACCCCGGUAGUCCUAGCCGUAAACGAUGGAUACUAGGUGUUAGAGGUAUCGACCCCUCUAGUGCC